GUGAAAGGCAAACCGGCUGAAAGGCCGGGACGCAAAGCUCGGGAGGCUACAGCGGCACAGCCGCCAGGCCAGUCCGGCCGCCGC
rnacentral:ncRNA from 1 species